AGGCCGCAGGCGCAGAGACCUCCCUCGGGCUGGGAGUUGUAGUUCUUAGCAGUGGGUCUUGCUGUGUCCCUCGGGCUGGAGUGCAGUGGCACCAUCACAGUUCACUUGCAGCCUCGACCUCCCUGGGUUCAAGCCAUCCUCCUGCCUCAGCCUCCAGAGGAGCUGGACUACAGAUGUGAGCCACCAUGUCUGGCCC
ensembl:lncRNA LINC00649 long intergenic non-protein coding RNA 649